CCGAGUGUAUUUUUACUGUGAAUCAUAUCGAUGUGUAUUGGAGCAAAGAGAUAAAGCUGCUAAAGAGCGAAUAUGACAGAAAAGGUGCGAGAGAGCUGUAGGAGGAGUCAAAAAUAGAACAGAGAGGCAGAGAUGAACACAAACCCUGGAAUAACUACAAAGCCAUCAUUCAUGAGUGAGAAUUACACACUAAUAACAGUCAUAGUCACGUGUAGCUGAUUACACGAGGGGUAACGGUAAUCGAGCGUCACGUGUACCCGAUUACACGAGGGUAACGGUAAUAGAGCGUCACGUGUACCCGAUUACACGAGGGUAACGGUAAUAGAGCGUCACGUGUACCCGAUUACACGAGGGUAACGGUUAAUAGAGUGUCACGUGUACCCGAUUACACGAGGGGUAACGGUAAUAGAGCGUCACGUGUACCCGAUUACACGCCGGUAACGGUAAUCGAGCGACACGUGUAUCUUGAUUCCACGCCCGUAACAAUAAUCGAGCGUCACGUGUAUCUUGAUUCCACGCCCGUAACAAUAAUCGAGCGUCACGUGUACCCGAUUACACGCCGGGUAACGGUAAUCGAGCGACACGUGUAUCUUGAUUGCACUGCGGUAACGGUAAUCUCGCGACACGUGUAUCUUGAUUGCACUGCGGUAACGGUAAUCUCGCGACACGUGUAUCUUGAUUGCACUGCGGUAGCGGUAAAGGAGCGACACGCGUAUCCGAUUUAUCAGAUGAGUACGGUAAGAUUCAAAGAAUAAAAUGAAACUUAUAAUACGUUAUAAUUAUCAGAAUACGUUAAAUAAAUUUGUUAAAUAAAUACCAAUUUUAAGUCAUAUAAAUCUUCAAAUCUUCAAAUUGAAUCUAUAUUUCUAUAGGCUGUAAUACAGUACAUUAUGUAUUGCACGCUAAACAUGUGUUUCUCUUUAGUCACAGGAAACCAGGAACUGCUACAUGACUCCACUACGUGAUGGACAUCUUCUGACAUGAUGACUUUAGAUCACCGCUUGCUCUGACCGGUUUGUAGCAGUGUAACUGUAGGCGUGUCCUCGUGACUAAUGUGUCUGAUGUAUCUGAUGUAUAAGGGUACACUCGGAGGGAUCGGAGAUCACGCGCAUUCAGAAGUCGUUUUCAUCCUCGCCCUUCACGCACCGAGAUUCGACUGGAUUCCUUAAAUCUUUUCAUUAUAUUGUGCGCUGUAGAAGCUGCUCAAAAUCCUACCGAGUUGCCUUUUGGGAAUGUUCUCCAAGUGUUGGCGUGAUCGUCGAGCCUCGACCCGUCCUAGCUCUUGAAGGCCUAGGCCUUUUUUUUUUUGGAUGCUCCUUAUAUACUAUGAUUAGACGAUUGCCUCACUUAUUUCACGUCAACUUCUUAUUUCAACUUGUCACAUCGCUAUUCUUAAAUUGCCCCUGUCCCAAACUGAAAAUGUAUUUGCCCCCGUAGUCACUAAUCCCCCAAGUCUAUGAAAAUGCAUUCGUAGACGAGACGUAACCAGGCCUGAUUACAGAGUGAGAGAAAAAUGAUGUCGAAGAUCUCAAAGAAGAAUAACUUGAUUAAAGUGAACCCCGAACAGUAUCGCAGACGAGCGUGGCAGUGAAGCAU
ensembl:lncRNA